AUUGAACGCUGGCGGCAUGCUUUACACAUGCAAGUCGAACGGCAGCGCGGGCUUCGGCCUGGCGGCGAGUGGCGAACGGGUGAGUAAUACAUCGGAACGUGCCCAGCAGUGGGGGAUAGCUCGGCGAAAGCCGGAUUAAUACCGCAUACGACCUGAGGGUGAAAGCGGGGGAUCUUCGGACCUCGUGCUAUUGGAGCGGCCGAUGGCAGAUUAGCUAGUUGGUGGGGUAAAGGCCUACCAAGGCGACUAUCUGUAGCUGGUCUGAGAGGACGACCAGCCACACUGGGACUGAGACACGGCCCAGACUCCUACGGGAGGCAGCAGUGGGGAAUUUUAGACAAUGGGCGAAAGCCUGAUCCAGCAGUGCCGCGUGUGUGAUGAAGGCCUUCGGGUUGUAAAGCACUUUUGGCGGGAACGAAAAGGACUGUGCCAAUACCACGGUUCGAUGACGGUACCCGCAGAAUAAGCACCGGCUAACUACGUG
rnacentral:rRNA from 1 species